rnacentral:rRNA from 1 species
AGAGUUUGAUCAUGGCUCAGAUUGAACGCUGGCGGCAUGCUUUACACAUGCAAGUCGAACGGCAGCACGGGAGCUUGCUCCUGGUGGCGAGUGGCGAACGGGUGAGUAAUGCACCGGAACGUACCCAGUAAUGGGGGAUAACACAUCGAAAGAUGUGCUAAUACCGCAUACGCCCUGAGGGGGAAAGCGGGGGAUCGUAAGACCUCGCGUUAUUGGAGCGGCCGAUGCCGGAUUAGCUAGUUGGUGAGGUAAGAGCUCACCAAGGCGACGAUCCGUAGCUGGUCUGAGAGGACGACCAGCCACACUGGGACUGAGACACGGCCCAGACUCCUACGGGAGGCAGCAGUGGGGAAUUUUGGACAAUGGGCGCAAGCCUGAUCCAGCCAUGCCGCGUGAGUGAAGAAGGCCUUCGGGUUGUAAAGCUCUUUCGCAAGGAAAGAAAACUUAUCUACUAAUACUAGGUGAGGUUGACGGUGCCUUGAUAAGAAGCACCGGCUAACUACGUGCCAGCAGCCGCGGUAAUACGUAGGGUGCGAGCGUUAAUCGGAAUUACUGGGCGUAAAGCGUGCGCAGGCGGUUUUGUAAGUCAGAUGUGAAAUCCCCGGGCUCAACCUGGGGACUGCGUUUGAAACUACAAGGCUAGAGUGUAGAAGAGGGGGGUAGAAUUCCACGUGUAGCAGUGAAAUGCGUAGAGAUGUGG